CAAAAUCCCUCGCAGCAAUAAGACGCACACAGCUCUGCUGAAAGACAGGACUGUGCACCAUGUAGCGCUCUCCGCUCCAUCCGAGACAUCUUCUGUCUGUGGCCAGGGUUUGAUAGGCUGCUCGCCAAUUCGCGUGACCCACCCGUCACCAACGCAGGCAGCCGUUGAAGGGGCGAAAAUGCUCAGAGGUAAUGAAUGAAACUUGUGAGAGUGUCUUGUGGAAGGAUGGAGGUUGGAAACCUGUAAACGGCUCGCUCUGCCCUGAACUCUCUUAAGCUUAGUCCAGAAAGGUUGAAGCUUGAUAUCAAAGGGAAGCCAUACCAUUUCCUAACCAGGAUUCCUACAUAAACCUGGGGCAAGAUGGACAAAAAGAAUGAAUCACCUUCACCACAGAGGCAAAAUGUCAAGAGUCGCUCAAAAUCCACCGAUGAGAUUGUGCAAGCAAAGAAGGCUUUCCACACACCUCAGAUAUCUCUUCCUGGCAGACAAGAACUGGAAAAACUGAAGGAAGCUACUGAAAGUGAAGAACUUCUUAUCUCUGCAGAAGAUGAUGAAACAUUGGUUGAGCAGAUUAAAAAUUGACCUGAGUUCCUCAAUGUCGUUGACAAAUACUUAUUCUUUGUUCGACUAAGGGGAUUUGGGCUGUAGGGAUGAAUAGCGAAACAAAGUUCCCAUUGAGCAAGCUGCUAAAAAUGCAGUUCCCAUAACUUAAUGUUUACUUGUUAUAAUGUACUGUGUCAGUAACCAUGGCCAUUAUUGAUUGUGUUGUCAGUGUGUGGCCAAUGUUUCCAUCAUCCUGUCUUGUAGCUGUAUUCAGAAAUUAAAGAUGUAUUUUGGUGGGUGAUGCUGCAGAAUCCUCACCGGCUGUUCAACUGCGCUAUAAAGCUGCUGUGUGAAUGGGGAAGCAUGCUUGAAUUUCUGUGCCACAAUUAUCAUCCAUUCAUCCAGCCCUUUCACAGGCAAUGGAAGAAUCAGCAACACUGUCUAUCACUUCACAAAUCAAGGGAGCACUUUUUAACUAUGCCUGCCCUAUAGCAAGUCUUGCAUGCUGUAAACAAGUCUUGGAAAUCAUAGGACCACUGCCUCUGAAUUUAAUUUAAAUGGUGAGAAAAUUGUGCACAGUGCCAUCCUGAAAUGGCCUCCCAAUAACUAAAUGUCUCUUCCAGAAAAAAAUACCCCAGAAACAUUUGCAGAUAAAAAUGACAGGCUUAAUCUUUGAAUUUUAUGUUAAUUCUCUGGUUUACCUUAAUUCAACAAUUUCUGCCUGAGAUUUUGUGGAAACAUAACAACUACUUUAUGCUUUAUGUUAGUUUUUUUUCAUGUGGAGCUUUAGUCUGCAUUUAUUUCUGGUCCCGUGCCCUUCUAUGCCUCAGGUUUGCUGUAUUGAAUGGGUGAAGCUCACCAGGAGAAUGAUUGAUGCUUCUAUUAGCUUUGACAUUAAAAUAAAUAUAUAAAUCUCAUGCUUUAUCUGCAUCUAAAAUACAACCCUUUGUUGAUGCCGUGCAGCAAUGGCUUCAAGAAAAUCACAAUGUUUUGGUCUGCUGCUUCUUCUGUGCCUGUGCCAUGGGAAUAAAAAAAUAUUUUAAGUGGCAUUAUUAUGGAGAUGAGAAAUGUGCAAAUGUUAAAUGUUUAUUCGGUAUUGCAUCUAGGUAAUGUGUUUUAUUACCUCCAUUGAUAUCAUUAUCCAUGUUGGGAUAGAGAAAUGUCAAAUUCUCCACCAGGCACUGGUAGGUAGGGAGGACUUCCAUAAGAUCUACUAGUUUGGGACAUGGUCGGCACAGUUCUGAUGUUCCCCGUCCUUCAGCCUAGAAGGGUGAAGAAUCAAGAGAUCACAUAGUCACUGCUCAAGGUGUUCCUCAUCGACAAGGACAAGUAGAAUGAGCCUUGAGAAGGUUAACAUGUCUGUAAUGGAAAUAAUGAUUUCACGUGAAAUGCAGAAUGCGUGGUACCAUAUUUCUAUGAACAUGUAAUUGAGUUUAAAGUUGUCUGUAUUUAUUCAUAUCAUUAAUAUUAAACGUGUGCUUCGUGAUGUUA